GCUGCGGGGGGAGAGGCCUUCGGGCUCGACCUCCACCCUUUGUGAACACAACUUGUUGCUUCGGGGGCGACCCUGCCGUUUCGACGGCGAGCGCCCCCGGAGGCCUUCAAACACUGCAUCUUUGCGUCGGAGUUUAAGUAAAUUAAACAAAACUUUCAACAACGGAUCUCUUGGUUCUGGCAUCGAUGAAGAACGCAGCGAAAUGCGAUAAGUAAUGUGAAUUGCAGAAUUCAGUGAAUCAUCGAAUCUUUGAACGCACAUUGCGCCCCUUGGUAUUCCGAGGGGCAUGCCUGUUCGAGCGUCAUUUCACCACUCAAGCCUCGCUUGGUAUUGGGCGCCGCGGUGUUCCGCGCGCCUCAAAGUCUCCGGCUGAGCUGUCCGUCUCUAAGCGUUGUGAUUUCAUUAAUCGCUUCGGAGCGCGGGCGGUCGCGGCCGUUAAAUCUUUCACAAGGUUGACCUCGGAUCAGGUAGGGAUACCCGCUGAACUUAAGCAUAUCAAAAGCCGGGAGGAA
rnacentral:rRNA from 1 species